UUAUAUUUAAUGUAAAAUGCAUAUAAAAUUUUGAAUUUUAAAGAAAUAAUUUAAUUUAUUUAUAUAAA
rnacentral:tRNA from 1 species